UACAGAGGGUGCGAGCGUUGUUCGGAAUUAUUGGGCGUAAAGGGCGCGUAGGCGGUGCGGUAAGUCACCUGUGAAAUCUCCUGGCUCAACUGGGAGCUUGCAGGCGAAACUGCCGUGCUGGAGUGUGGGAGAGGUGCGUGGAAUUCCUGGUGUAGCGGUGAAAUGCGUAGAUAUCAGGAGGAACACCUGUGGCGAAGGCAGCUCGCUGGGACGGUACUGACGCUGAGGUGCGAAAGCGUGGGGAGCAAACAGG
rnacentral:rRNA from 1 species